GGCGCGAUGGCAGAGUGGUGAUGCAGAGGACUGCAAAUCCUCGUACGCCGGUUCGAUUCCGGCUCGUGCCUCCA
rnacentral:tRNA from 1 species